rnacentral:rRNA from 1 species
UACGGGGGGAGCAAGCGUUGUUCGGAUUACUGGCGUAAAGGGCGCGUAGGCGGUCGUGACAAGUCACUUGUGAAAUCUCCGGGCUUAACUCGGAACGGUCAAGUGAUACUGUCGGACUAGAGUACAGAAGGGGCAACUGGAAUUCUCGGUGUAGCGGUGAAAUGCGUAGAUAUCGAGAGGAACACCUGCGGCGAAGGCGGGUUGCUGGGCUGAUACUGACGCUGAGGCGCGAAAGCCAGGGGAGCGAACGGG